ensembl:lncRNA
AUGCCUCAGAGGCAGGGAUGCUGCUGUUCUGGUUGGGAUUAGCAUCUGUGUGGCGGUCGGCAGGAGGAUGGUUUAUGUCUCAGCUGCGGCACUUAUUGGAGAUGACGGGACAGAAGCUGCUGGUGAGCAUCACUGCUGGGAACAGCGCUUUGCUGAGAAGUUCUGCCCUCAAAGUAUGUAUGAAGCAUUUGGCUUUUAACAACUGUUUGCUGGCAUAUGUGGAUGUAAUUAGGUACAUAUCAAUCAAAGUUAGUUGAAUGUUUGAAUUCAGUCUUGCAAAUGAAACACCAGCAUUUUGGUGUGUGCUCCUUGUGCAUCCUCGGCAGUGACCUGCUCCCAUUUGCUUCCCAGGGUCCCUGCUGGCCUCCCCACUAGUGGCACUGAUGCGCUGCAGCAUGGCACAACCCGGGUGAAGAGUUCACCACGCUGUGAUGGAAGCUCUGAGCUCACUCUGCACCACACAGGAUGACUUUUUGCACCACGCAUCACCGGCAGCCUGCCUGCCCCAGAAUGACUUCUCAACUGUCUCUGCCUUAGUACACGCUGAUACACAACCUACUAUAAGGCCUUAAAGCCCAAAUUUUCCAAAAUGGAAACCGUUUUCCAUUCACAUCAUCUCCUGUGAGUUUUUCUAGAAGUCACACAGGACUUUUUGGGCCAAGUGCAAGGUGCUGCACAAAUACAAACUGGGAGAUGAAUGAAUUGAGGGCAGCCUAGCACUGAAGGGCUUGGGGGUUCUAGAUGAAAAACUGGAUGUGAGCCAGCAAUGUGCACUUGCAGCCCAGAGGUAUGGAACAGCUCUUCUGGGACACCGUGGAGCUGUGACACGUCAGCAGGCCCGUGACAUCACAGGGUUCCCUCCUAAGUCAUAAGAGUCCCAGGAGCACCUACAGUUCUGCUCCGCAGCUCGCGCCUGCCCGCAGCUUUCCGGACAAUUUUUUACUUUCCCAAGUGCAAAUAGCACUUGGGCACUGAUGCAGUUUGUCACAGCCUGAGGAUGUCUCUGCUCACUAGGUUUUUGGAAGACCACGAGUGGGAUUUUAAGCAAAUGGAGAGAAUGAUGCAGAGGCAGAUGCAGCUGCUGGACCGGCACCUGCAGGAGCUGCGGGAGGAACUGCUGCCCUGCUGCCCCUGCAGCCACCUCCCACCACUGUCCUGCCUCUGCUCGUGGUCCUGCACAGCUCCCAGCCGGGCUGUGAUGGCCGCACGGGAAGUGGAGCGAGACCUGGCCAGUGUACGGAGAAAACUGAACAAGAUGUGCAAUUCUUUCCAAAACCGCAAGGUUUUAGCAAUGAUGGAUGUGAAGGGUUUUGACCCAGAGGAGGUCACUGUGACGGUGAAGGACAGGAAGGUCCAGGUGCUGGCGGAGCACGAGGAGGCCCACACCACCACACGAGGGAAGGAAUAUAACUACAAAAAAGUCAGGAAGGAGAUCACCUUGCCACCCGGGGGCUCAACAGAAAUCACCUCAAGGGAAGGAGACUCCUUCCAAGGCAGCACCAUGGGCUAGCCUGCUAGUGAAGAAUUGUCCCAGCUCUUUGGAAUGUGGUGUGUCUUGAUUUCUUCUCUACAUUUGUCUGCAUUUUCCUAGAUCUCACCUGUCAUUCCCUGUGAGAUGCCACCUCUAGCAAAAGUCUCCUCACUCUGUUAGUGAAUCACUUCUUCACCCUUAUGGAGAGGAACACCAGCAGAGCUUUCUCCUCUUUCCCACAGAGCUAGUGGGUUUCCAAUAUUAUUUAAUUAUAGUUAGAGAGGAAAAUGCCUCUGGGCACUGGAACUGCACAUGUUGUAGUAGUAUGGCUUCACAAUGUCCCAUGUUUUCUCACAGAACAGUUCCUCUGGACCAGCUCUGUCUCUUGGAAAAAUUCAUAGGAGGCCACCAGAGCUGUGUGCUGGUUAGGUGGUGAGAAUAGGCCAUCCCAGUCCACGUGGGGCUGCAGCACGAUGAGGUGCUGCUGUGGGAGCAGCAGACAGGAGCCCUGCAAAGUUAGCUUUCCCUUAGAAAUAGCAAAAAAAAAAAAAAAAAAAACACAAGCAGUACCAUUUGUCCGCUCAAUUUGGCUCUUACAGAUUUUGCACUACUAGGAAGAGCCUCAUUGGAUGGACAGAGGGUUUUAAUUUAGAAGGUGUUGAAAAUGUUGCAGAGCAUUUCCCAGCAGAUGAGUGCUGUAGCAUGGGUCAGAAUCAAUAGCUCAGGAUGUUUACAGCUGGGAGGGAGUGAAUUGUCUGAACUUUCUUCAGCUGUACCGAAUGGUGUCAUUUGCUGCCAUUUGGGCCAGGCUGGAAAAGUCAGCAGUGCUGUGGCCUCUCUCCAGAAUCCUCACAGAACAGCUCCAUCAGCCAUAUGUCCCAGCAAGAGGCUGAGGAUGGGUUUGGCUGGAGCCAGCUGGGUAACUCAAUUCAGUGCAAGAUGUGCUGAUUUGGGCAGGUUCAGCAUCCAAGAAAUCUUAAAUAUCUGGUAUAAACUUCAAGCUUUAUGGGCUUGGAGUGUAUCUGGUCUGCAUGUACAG